rnacentral:tRNA from 1 species
GCACCCGUAGCUCAAUGGAUAGAGCACUGGACUUCGGAUCCAGGUGUUGGGGGUUCGAGUCCCUCCGGGUGCG